GCCAUCUACAUUACAUGCCCAUAAUUGUUUCACCAUGGAAAUAAAAGGAUAAACAUAAGGAAGGGGCGUCCCAUCCCAUAGGAUGCCAACUAUAUGUUGUCGCACAAAACAAAUUCCACACGCUCCAAGAAAAAUUCUCUGGGACGUGGAAGCCUGAUAUGUGGUGCCAACUCCUUGGCUUAACCAACCAUGGGUCAACCC
rnacentral:lncRNA from 1 species